AUUGAACGCUGGCGGCAUGCCUUACACAUGCAAGUCGAACGGCAGCACGGGUGCUUGCACCUGGUGGCGAGUGGCGAACGGGUGAGUAAUACAUCGGAACAUGUCCUGUAGUGGGGGAUAGCCCGGCGAAAGCCGGAUUAAUACCGCAUACGAUCUACGGAUGAAAGCGGGGGACCUUCGGGCCUCGCGCUAUAGGGUUGGCCGAUGGCUGAUUAGCUAGUUGGGGGGGUAAAGGCCUACCAAGGCGACGAUCAGUAGCUGGUCUGAGAGGACGACCAGCCACACUGGGACUGAGACACGGCCCAGACUCCUACGGGAGGCAGCAGUGGGGAAUUUUGGACAAUGGGCGAAAGCCUGAUCCAGCAAUGCCGCGUGUGUGAAGAAGGCCUUCGGGUUGUAAAGCACUUUUGUCCGGAAAGAAAUCCUUGGCCCUAAUACGGUCGGGGGAUGACGGUACCGGAAGAAUAAGCACCAGCUAACUACGU
rnacentral:rRNA from 1 species